rnacentral:misc_RNA from 1 species
AACAUCAAUCCCUGAGGGUUUUCUGACCGUCGGUGGACUUGGACCUGGGCGUCUGCCUCACAAGGCUCGCCUCAAAUGACUCAGUGGGAACCUCUUGACCUACGCCUGACGUGAUAAGUUUCGUCUCGGCCGGUCUUGAGGCCCGCUCAUAACAACCCACAUAUUUUGA